CCUACGGGAUGCAGCAGUGGGGAAUAUUGCACAAUGGGGGAAACCCUGAUGCAGCGACGCCGCGUGAAGGAAGAAGUAUUUCGGUAUGUAAACUUCUAUCAGCAGGGAAGAAAAUGACGGUACCUGACUAAGAAGCCCCGGCUAACUACGUGCCAGCAGCCGCGGUAAUACGUAGGGGGCAAGCGUUAUCCGGAUUUACUGGGUGUAAAGGGAGCGUAGGCGGCGAUGCAAGUCAGAAGGGAAAGCCCGGGGCUCAACUCCGGGACUGCUUUUGAUACUGUGUUGCUAGAUUGCAGGAGAGGUAAGUGGAAUGCUUGGUGUGGAGGUGAAAUGCGUAGAUAUUAGGAGGAACACCAGUGGCGAAGGCGGCUUACUGGACUGUAAAUGACGCUGAGGCUCGAAAGCGUGGGGAGCAAACAGGAUUAGAUACCCCGGUAGUC
rnacentral:rRNA from 1 species